CCUACGGGGGGCAGCAGUGGGGAAUAUUGGACAAUGGGGGCAACCCUGAUCCAGCCAUGCCGCGUGUGUGAAGAAGGCCCUCGGGUUGUAAAGCACUUUCAGUGAGGAAGAACGCCUGGUGGUUAAUACCCAUCAGGAAAGACAUCACUCACAGAAGAAGCACCGGCUAACUCCGUGCCAGCAGCCGCGGUAAUACGGAGGGUGCGAGCGUUAAUCGGAAUUACUGGGCGUAAAGCGCGCGUAGGUGGCUUGAUAAGCCGGUUGUGAAAGCCCCGGGCUCAACCUGGGAACGGCAUCCGGAACUGUCAAGCUCGAGUGCAGGAGAGGAAGGUAGAAUUCCCGGUGUAGCGGUGAAAUGCGUAGAGAUCGGGAGGAAUACCAGUGGCGAAGGCGGCCUUCUGGACUGACACUGACACUGAGGUGCGAAAGCGUGGGUAGCAAACAGGAUUAGAUACCCCUGUAGUC
rnacentral:rRNA from 1 species